GAAACCGAGUCUUAACCGGGCGUUAAGUUGCAGGGUAUAGACCCGAAACCCGGUGAUCUAGCCAUGGGCAGGUUGAAGGUUGGGUAACACUAACUGGAGGACCGAACCGACUAAUGUUGAAAAAUUAGCGGAUGACCUGUGGCUGGGGGUGAAAGGCCAAUCAAACCGGGAGAUAGCUGGUUCUCCCCGAAAGCUAUUUAGGUAGCGCCUCGUGAAUUCAUCUCCGGGGGUAGAGCACUGUUUCGGCUAGGGGGCCAUCCCGGCUUACCAACCCGAUGCAAACUGCGAAUACCGGAGAAUGUUAUCACGGGAGACACACGGCGGGUGCUAACGUCCGUCGUGAAGAGGGAAACAACCCAGACCGCCAGCUAAGGUCCCAAAGUCAUGGUUAAGUGGGAAACGAUGUGGGAAGGCCCAGACAGCCAGGAUGUUGGCUUAGAAGCAGCCAUCAUUUAAAGAAAGCGUAAUAGCUCACUGGUCGAGUCGGCCUGCGCGGAAGAUGUAACGGGGCUAAACCAUGCACCGAAGCUGCGGCAGCGAACGUAUCACCCAAGACAACUUUACGGAGUUGACGAUUGACGGAGCGAAGCGACGUCAAAGCGUUCAUUAAAGUCGAGUUGGCUUAGGGAUACGUUCGUUGGGUAGGGGAGCGUUCUGUAAGCCUGUGAAGGUGUGUCGUGAGGCAUGCUGGAGGUAUCAGAAGUGCGAAUGCUGACAUAAGUAACGAUAAAGCGGGUGAAAAGCCCGCUCGCCGGAAGACCAAGGGUUCCUGUCCAACGUUAAUCGGGGCAGGGUGAGUCGACCCCUAAGGCGAGGCCGAAAGGCGUAGUCGAUGGGAAACGGGUUAAUAUUCCCGUACUUGGUGUUACUGCGAAGGGGGGACGGAGAAGGCUAUGUUGGCCGGGCGACGGUUGUCCCGGUUUAAGCGUGUAGGUGUGUGUUCCAGGUAAAUCCGGUUCACUUUAACACUGAGGCGUGACGACGAGGCACUACGGUGCUGAAGCAACAAAUGCCCUGCUUCCAGGAAAA
rnacentral:rRNA from 1 species